rnacentral:rRNA from 1 species
UGGGGGAUAUUGCACAAUGGGCGAAAGCCUGAUGCAGCGACGCCGCGUGGGGGAUGAAGGCUUUCGGGUUGUAAACCUCUUUCGCUAUCGAACAAGGCCCGCUUAGGGUGGGUUGAGGGUAGGUGGAGAAGAAGCGCCGGCUAACUACGUGCCAGCAGCCGCGGUAAUACGUAGGGCGCGAGCGGUGUCCGGAAUUAUUGGGCGUAAAGGGCUUGUAGGCGGCUUGUUGCGCCUGCUGUGAAAACGCGGGGCUUAACUUCGCGCGUGCAGUGGGUACGGGCAGGCUUGAGUGUGGUAGGGGUGACUGGAAUUCCAGGUGUAGCGGUGGAAUGCGCAGAUAUCUGGAGGAACACCGAUGGCGAAGGCAGGUCACUGGGCCAUUACUGACGCUGAGGAGCGAAAGCAUGGGUAGCGAACAGG